GAAUACAGUUAGAAAACAAUGGAGAAAGAAUUAAUCUCUCAUCAGUGGAACCCCAGGGAAGUCCUGCUGGGGAGCCCUCAGAAUCAGGCUGAGGCCAGCCCUUCCCAAUUCUUUGCAGUCUUAACUUCAGAUUUUAAUAUGAAAUUCAGCAGCUCGGCUUAUUUUAAACUUGAGAAGUCUGUGGGGUUUUUUGGUUCUGUUCAAAGCAAAUGAGCAUUUUCCUUUUAGUCUUGUUUAGACAGUUGUAUAAAUGGAUCUGUCAGUCAGAGGGAACAAAACACACAGCCCCUUUUCCUCUAGAUGAUGAUAGAGAUUGCGAGAAUGAUAAUGGUGAUGGAUGGCCACAGAGCCGCCUCAUCUCGGAGGCUCCUGCCAAGGCUGCUAGGGGUUUGGCGGAGGAACAUUCCUUCUGCUUCGUUAGGUAGGAGCUGAGCACCGCAGGUAGGAGGGAGGCAAAUGGUGAGUAUCUUCAGCGUUCUGCUUGAUCUCCUGGAAUGCCACCUAGGAAAAGCUGGAAUGGGCAAUGCUGGCACAGAAGUCUCUACUCCAUCCACGUUCUUGGGGACACCAGGUUAAAUCACAAGCCAUGCAAAGGACACGGUGUCUGUCUCAGUGUCUGCCUCUCAGGAAGUGCUGCUGUGGCUCCCAGGCUCUGAGCCCCCGGCAGGAGGGCCCUUGGAAACCUUGACGAAGUCUGGCACGGUCGUUGUACAGUGGAAGAAAAUUCAUUGAAGAGAAUCUGAGCGUUCGCAGUGUGUGACAAUGUCCUUACACUGCUUCUUAGGCCCCAAAACUUUACUUACCGGGUCCUGUUGUUCAGCGCCUUUCUCAGUGGUGGGGAGUCAGGGGUCGUAAAAGAAAAGGCAUAUUUUCUAGGUCAGAGCUUCUUAGGCUUUGCUACACGUCAUCACAUGGGGGCUUGGUGUCUGUGUCGGGCUUUUUCAGGGGUUUAAUUUUAGGACAUGGUGAAGUACAUGGGUAAAACGUGCUUAAUAACUCCAGAAUGAGGCAUCAUUCUUAACCAGGCACAGCCAUCGUGAGGACAGGCCAGGCCGCCCUACCUCGAGGGGGCCGCCCCCGCAAGACUCAGGUAAAGAAGAGCAGGGAACACUCGCUGUCUGCACACCGGCUUGCCCCUGGGGGGCAGAGCCCAGGAAGCUGAGAAGCGAAGUUCAUCCCACAUGUGUUGACCACAUUGCAUUGCUUCUCCCUUAGGGAAGAGUGAGAAGGUACAGGGGCCAGGCGAGGCCUGGAGUGUUACAGCUGGUGGAGCGCCAUAAGCACACAGGAGGAGAACGGAAUUGUCCUCUUUCUAAUAUUCCUGGGAUUUGUCUGGGUCUUUUAAGUCACCAAGCUUAUUCUCGGAAUAAGAUAGGAGGCUGUGGAGACAGGGCUUACGCCCCUCUUCAGGAGAUCUCUUCGGGAGUUUCUAGAAGCCACAGCAGCCAGGCCACACUUCCAAAGUUAUGAUCCUGUGGCUUGGGGGCAGGGAGAAGGUGGGUGCGGUCAGAGGGUAGGCUCUGGGGUAGGGUUCAUUGGGCUCAGAUCUCAGCUCUCCUCAUCCCUCGUGCAUUAACUUACUUGGGCUGCUAUAACACACUGCCCACCUCAAGAGGCUGCCCGACUUCCUAACAGAGUAUUAUCUAUCACGACACCUGGCCCUGUCCUGGGGUGCCUGUUGGCCUGAUGGUGGCCCCUUCUCUCUGAAACUCUGGCCCAUGGACAGGACGCUCUGGAGAAUUCUCUGGAAUUGAUCACAGUGACUGCAGCCACAACUUGGGGAGGCAGUGCAUCCCUGCAGGACCACGGCCUCAAUCUUCUCCAUGGAAAAAAGAAACGUUUUCCUGCUGGUGACUGAGAUGUCUGGCUCUUUCCUCUUUCCUCACAGGCGCUUAUCUCUAAGCCUGAAGGGAUUUGCAAAGUUGAAAGCAAGCAGCAGUGCAGUAUUGUAGUUACAAGGGAGAGACAAAGUGACUGAGAAACAGGAUAAUCCCACCUUAUCUGUCAGGCAUUAAAAGUGCCAUUUCCAAAGAGGAGGCACAAAUGAGUCCUCUGAACGAAUUUUGACAUCCGCUCUUCACCACAGAUCAGAGAAUAUCAUUCAUGAUCUUUUACUGAUCUUGGUUUUGUAAGAUAUGUGAGCCUGGAGGGUACAUUCUAUUCCUUUUAGGAAAAACAGUAUAAUUUGCUGUCCUUUAAGAGCUAUUUUAGAACUUGGAUAAAAUAUUCAAAUGAGGCUAUUCUCUUAAUUAGAGAACAUUAUUGGUUUAUCUGUUUACUAUUGUAUAGAACUACUUUAUGCCAAAAAUAGAACCAGUCCCAUGAACAAUGGAAAACCGAAUGAGAAGGUCUGCCUUCCAAAUGGUGAUAUUUGAUUAGGGGAGACAGACAACACACAUCAACGUUAACAUUAGAAAUUAUAAAUAAGGGGCGCCCUGGGUGGCUCAGUCAGUUAAGCGUCUGCCUCUUGAUUUCAGCUCAGGUCAUGAUCUCAGGGUGCUGAGAUGGAGCCUGGUGACCCCUUCUCGUUUGGAACAGAGUCGGCUUGUUUCUGUCCCUCUGCCCCUCCCCCCUGCUCACUCCAGUAUGCUCUCUUCCUCUCUCUCCCUAAAAUAAAAAAGUAAAAUCUCAAAGUAAAAGAAGCUAUAAAUAGAACGCAGACCCUCAGAGGGAAGAUGCUUAUUGGGUGGGUGGGCGAGCCGGCUCUGGCGCAAGGCACCCUAGAGCUGGGCAUGGGAGGAAAGGCAGAAUCCCCAGAGAACCAGUCUGGUGUCUCAAGCAGGACGGUGCA